CAAGGGGUGAAGGUUAUCUCAUUUAUCACAUAUACCGACAUACAAGGGUUACCUCAUUUAUCACAUUUACUGACAUACAAGUGGUGUAGGUUAUCUCAUUUAUCACAUUUACUUACAUACAAGGGGUGUAGGGUACCUCAUUUAUCACAUAUACCGACAUACAAGGGGUGCAGGUUAUCUCAUUUAUCACAUUUACCGACAUACAAGGGGUGUAGGUUAUCUCAUUUAUCACAUUUACCGACAUACAAGGGGUGUAGGUUAUCUCAUUUAUCACAUUUACUGACAUACAAGGGGUGUAGGUUAUCUCAUUUAUCACAUUUACUGACAUACAAGGGGUGUAGGUUAUCUCAUUUAUCACAUUUACUGACAUACAAGGGGUGUAGGUUAUCUCAUUUAUCACAUUUACUGACAUACAAGGGUGUAGGUUAUCUCAUUUAUCACAUUUACUGACAUACAAGGGGUGUAGGUUAUCUCAUUUAUCACAUUUACUGACAUACAAGGGGUGUAGGUUAUCUCAUUUAUCACAUUUACUGACAUACAAGGGGUGUAGGUUAUCUCAUUUAUCACAUUUACUGACAUACAAGGGGUGUAGGUUAUCUCAUUUAUCACAUUUACCGACAUACAAGGGAUGCAGGUUAUCUCAUUUAUCACAUUUACCGACAUACAAGGGGUGUAGGUUAUCUCAUUUAUCACAUUUACCGACAUACAAGGGGUGUAGGUUAUCUCAUUUAUCACAUUUACCGACAUACAAGGGGUGUAGGUUAUCUCAUUUAUCACAUUUACUGACAUACAAGGGGUGUAGGUUAUCUCAUUUAUCACAUUUACUGACAUACAAGGGGUGUAGGUUAUCUCAUUUAUCACAUUUACCGACAUACAAGGGGUGUAGGUUAUCUCAUUUAUCACAUUUACCGACAUAGAA